rnacentral:rRNA from 1 species
AGUUUGAUCAUGGCUCAGGAUGAACGCUGGCGGCGUGCCUAACACAUGCAAGUCGAGCGAUCUUCUUCGGAAGAGAGCGGCGGACGGGUGAGUAACGCGUGGGUAACCUGCCUCAUACACAUGGAUAACAUACCGAAAGGUAUGCUAAUACAAGAUGAUAUAAGAGAUUCGCAUGGAUUUCUUAUCAAAGCUCCGGCGGUAUGAGAUGGACCCGCGUCUGAUUAGCUAGUUGGUAAGGUAAUGGCUUACCAAGGCGACGAUCAGUAGCCGACCUGAGAGGGUGAUCGGCCACAUUGGAACUGAGACACGGUCCAAACUCCUACGGGAGGCAGCAGUGGGGAAUAUUGCACAAUGGGCGAAAGCCUGAUGCAGCAACGCCGCGUGAGCGAUGAAGGCCUUCGGGUCGUAAAGCUCUGUCCUCAAGGAAGAUAAUGACGGUACUUGAGGAGGAAGCCCCGGCUAACUACGUG